CCCCACUUAUCAGCGCCCCCCACUCGCCGCCCCCCCCAGCGCCGACCGGAAGAGGAAAUCAAACCUUACUCCUCCUCGGACCGAGACUUUUUAAAAGAAGAGGAGGAGCCACCGUGGCCAUUCAAUUUAACGCCGGGUCGAACCGGGGGGUCCCCAUUGAGGGGAACUUUACGCCCCUUCCUCCGUCGUGGCCCCAUAGAUGAGAACCCACGGCCCGAUGUGGGGCAGCAGCGACGUGCCAGUUCGCUCGGCCGCAUCGGACGCUGAGAUCAAUGGGAUCGAUUCGCUGCCCCAUAGAGUGUAGGAGGGAGGGGGAGGGCACCCAUUGGUUUCUAUUGCUGCCCCAUAGGGUCCCUGUUCCCACCCCACAGCCCCUAUGGGUGCCCAUCUCAGCCCCACAGCCCCUAU